UUAUGGCUCAGGAUGAACGCUAGCUACAGGCUUAACACAUGCAAGUCGAGGGGUAGCAGGGUAGCAAUACCGCUGACGACCGGCGCACGGGUGAGUAACGACGUAUCCAACCUUCCCAUAACUCAGGGAUAGCCUUUUCGAAAGAAAGAUUAAUACCUGAUAGUACUUUUUCAAGGCAUCUUGAGAAGUUAAAGAUUUAUUGGUUAUGGAUGGGGAUGCGUUCCAUUAGAUAGUUGGUGAGGUAACGGCUCACCAAGUCUUCGAUGGAUAGGGGUUCUGAGAGGAAGGUCCCCCACAUUGGUACUGAGACACGGACCAAACUCCUACGGGAGGCAGCAGUGAGGAAUAUUGGUCAAUGGGCGAGAGCCUGAACCAGCCAAGUAGCGUGAAGGGUAAUGAAGGUCCUAUGGAUUGUAAACUUCUUUUAUAGUAGAAUAAAGUGAUCCACGUGUGGAUUUUUGUAUGUAUACUAUGAAUAAGGAUCGGCUAACUCCGUGCCAGCCGCCGC
rnacentral:rRNA from 1 species